GAAACAGGACGUCAUANAGGGUGAGAAUCCCGUACGUGACCGGCGGUCAACCCCAUGUGAGGCUCCUUCGACGAGUCGAGUUGUUUGGGAAUGCAGCUCUAAAUGGGUGGUAAAUUUCAUCUAAAGCUAAAUACCGGCCAGAGACCGAUAGCGCACAAGUAGAGUGAUCGAAAGAUGAAAAGCACUUUGAAAAGAGAGUUAAAAAGUACGUGAAAUUGUUGAAAGGGAAGCGCUUGCAACCAGACUUGCCCGCAGGCGAUCUUCCGUUUUUCGGAGCCACCGCACGUGGAGCAGGCCAGUAUCGGUUUUGGCAGUCGGACAAAGUCCCUGGGAACGUAGCUCCUCUCGGGGAGUGUUAUAGCCCGGGGUGCAAUGCGAUUAGCUGGGACCGAGGACCGCGCUUCGGCUAGGAUACUGGCGUAAUGGUUGUAAGCGACCCGUCUUGAAACACGGACCAAGGAGUCUAACAUCUAUGCGAGUGUUUGGGUGUCAAACCCAUACGCGUAAUGAAAGUGAACGGAGGUGGGAACCUUAGGGGGCACCAUCGACCGAUCCUGAUGUCUUCGGAUGGAUUUGAGUACGAGCAUAGCUGUUGGGACCCGAAAGAUGGUGAACUAUGCCUGAAUAGGGUGAAGCCAGAGGAAACUCUGGUGGAGGCUCGCAGCGGUUCUGACGUGCAAAUCGAUCGUCAAAU
rnacentral:rRNA from 1 species